rnacentral:lncRNA from 1 species
GCUGCAGUAGUGUGAAUAAUUGACCUGCGGUAGCUCAACUAUUCACAAUGAGAUUGCUGAAGUUUGAUUACACCAUAACUCAAUCUCCUAGUCAUAUAGAAUCUUGAGGUGUAUGUUGGCUACAGUAGGUUCAUUAUAGAAAUCUUGAGGUGUAUCUUGAGAUCUAUCGACCCUGAUAAUUAAAAAAAAAUCUUAUGAGGAUCAUGAAACUGAGUUUGAA